rnacentral:rRNA from 1 species
AAGGGAGGGUAAUCAAUUGUUUUUUAAUUGUAGACCCGUUUGAAAGGCAAAAAGAGGGCCCAUUUGUUUUUUGUUGUAAAUCAAUUAAAAUGAUUUUCCCGUUCCAAAGGUGGGAUGCCAACAUAAGACCCGAAGACCCCGUGAAGGUUAAAAUAAAAUAUUAAAUCCUAUUAUAGGUCCCUUUGGGUGGGGGGGCCCUGGAAAAAAAAAGAAAUUUCAAACAUACUGACCUUACAGUCACCUACCCUAGGCCAACAAGCCUAACAACGACCCAGCACAGCUGAUAAUUGAACCAAGUUACUCCAGGGAUAACAGCGCUAUUUUUUUCAAGAGCCCAUAUCAAAAAGAAGGUUUACGACCUCGAUGUUGGAUCAGGACAUCCUAAUGGUGCAGCCGCUAUAAGGGUUCGUU